UUCGCCUAGUGGAAAACCGCCUUUAAGGAGUUUAAAGGCGGUUUUCCACUAGGCGAA
rnacentral:sRNA from 1 species